GUGGGGUAGUUCUGCUCUAAGGUCCAGACAUGGUGGGGUAGUUCUGCUCUAAGGUCCAGACAUGGUGGGGUAGUUCUGUUGUAAGGUCCAGACAUGGUGGGGAAGUUCUGUUGUAAGGUCCAGACAUGGUGGGGUAGUUCUGUUGUAAGGUCCAGACAUGGUGGGGUAGUUCUGUUGUAAGGUCCAGACAUGGUGGGGUAGUUCUGUUGUAAGGUCCAGACAUGGUGGGGUAGUUCUGUUGUAAGGUCCAGACAUGGUGGGGUAGUUCUGCUUUAAGGUCCAGACAUGGUGGGGUAGUUCUGCUUUAAGGUCCAGACAUGGUGGGGUAGUUCUGCUCUAAGGUCCAGACAUGGUGGGGUAGUUCUGCUCUAAGGUCCAGACAUGGUGGGGUAGUUCUGCUCUAAGGUCCAGACAUGGUGGGGUAGUUCGGCUCUAAGGUCCAGACAUGGUGGGGUAGUUCUGCUGUAAGGUCCAGACAUGGUGGGGUAGUUCUGCUUUAAGGUCCAG
rnacentral:lncRNA from 1 species